rnacentral:lncRNA from 1 species
UCCUGCUUGUAGAGCGUUUCUCAUUCCCCCGGGUUGAAAUGGCCAAUGGUUUCCCUGCAUAAGGAGCUGCUGUUUCAGAUGAUUUCCCGUGCAUGGGUGGCUGGCAUCAUCUUGAGAGCAAAAGGUCCUGCCUACCCUCUGCAGCUCCUUUGCCGUGUUCAUGGAGAGAUCGAAAGGGAGCGGAGACGCAGGAGGCAGGUGAGGUCCUGCCAUCCUGCCGGUUCUCACCCACCUGAGGAGCACUGCUUGCACCUAGAGGCUAUGAGAUAUAUUUGCCUAAAAUAGGCCUUAUCUUGGUAUUAAUGGCCAAUGAACGCAGAUGCUGCUGUGCUAAGCUAAGGGCGUUUGCUGCAAUAAGAUGGAGAGCAGGGAGGGCUCGGAGGCGUGGAUCUGGGCUGGUGCCAUCAUGGCUCCUCCUCGCCACCAUGCCUGGCGCAACCUAAAAUCAGGUGGCAAGUCCCUGCUUUCCUUAAUCCUCGAGGCGGAAGUGACAGAGGGCUAAACUAGGCU